ACAGUACAAACUGAGCAGGCGAUGAACCUUUUAGGUCAUGGGGCCGGGCUGCUGAGGCGGCAACAGAUGUUAACUUAGCAUCUGUGGGACAGU
rnacentral:ncRNA from 1 species